rnacentral:rRNA from 1 species
AUGGCCAGGCCGGCGCUGAAGACGCUCACGACCGGGCCACCGGAAGCCAGGGGUGAGUUCAUCCGUCUCUGCUCAAGCGGUCGCCUCAAGGAUGCCCUCCACCACCCCUUCCGGGACGUCCUCUGGUCGGAACCUACCCUCUUCGCCCACGUCUUCCGGGCCUGCCGCGCCAUCCCGCUCCUCCGCCAAAUCCACGCCUUUGCCGCCACCUGUGGCGCCGCCGCCGACCGCUUCACCACCAACAACCUCAUGCUCGCCUACGCGGACCUCGGCGACCUCCCCACUGCGUGCAGUCUGUUCGAGAGAAUUCCGAAGCCGAACGUCAUGUCCUGGAACAUUCUGAUUGGUGGUUACAUCAAGAACGGCGACCUUGGAAGCGCUCGGAAGCUGUUCGACGAAAUGCCCAUGAGGAAUGUCGCCACCUGGAAUGCCAUGGUCGCUGGGCUCACCAAUGCAGGGCAUGACGAGGACAGCCUGGGGUUCUUCCUUGCCAUGCGAAGGGAGGGAUUGCAUCCUGAUGAGUUUGGCCUUGGGAGCGUGUUCAGGUGCUGUGCCGGGCUCUCUGAUCUUGUCUCUGGACGCCAGGUCCAUGCAUAUGUCCUGAGGUGUGGGAUGGACAUUGACAUGUGUGUUGGAAACUCGCUGGCUCACAUGUACAUGCGGUGUGGGUGCCUCGCAGAAGGAGAGGCCGUUCUCAAAGCGCUUCCUUCUCUUACAGUUGUGUCAUUCAAUACCACAAUCGCUGGUAGGGCGCAGCAUGGAGACUCCGAGGGAGCAUUGGAGUAUUUUUCCAUGAUGAGAGGUGUUGGGAUAGCGGCUGAUGUGGUCACAUUCGUUAGUAUCAUUACCUGUUGCUCAGAUUUGGCAGCUCUCGCACAAGGUCAGCAAGUUCACGCACAGGUUAUCAAGGCUGGAGUUGACAAGGUUGUUCCAGUCAUUACUUGCCUUGUGCAUAUGUACUCUCGAUGCGGAUGCUUGGGUGACUCGGAAAGAGUUUAUUCUGGUUAUUGUGGAUCAGAUCUUUUUCUUCUCAGUGCAAUGAUCUCAGCUUGUGGGUUCCAUGGGCAAGGACAUAAAGCAGUUGAGCUGUUUAAACAGAUGAUGAAUGCAGGGGCAAGACCUAAUGAGGUUACUUUCUUGGCCCUGCUAUAUGCGUGCAGCCAUAGUGGUCUGAAAGAUGAAGGCUUGGAGUUCUUUGAGCUUAUGACCAAGACUUAUGGACUGCAACCAAGUGUGAAACACUACACUUGUAUUGUGGAUCUUCUUGGGCGAUCAGGUUGUCUGGAUGAAGCAGAGGCCCUUAUCUUGUCAAUGCCUGUACGUGCUGACGGGGUCAUAUGGAAGACACUGCUAUCUGCUUGUAAGACCCAGAAGAAUUUUGACAUGGCCGAGCGGAUAGCAGAGCGAGUCAUUGAGUUUGACCCUCGAGAUUCUGCGCCUUAUGUUCUGCUAUCAAAUAUUCGAGCUACCAGCAGGAGAUGGGGAGAUGUCAGUGAGUUAAGAAAAAACAUGAGGGAGAAGAACGUGAGAAAGGAACCUGGUGUCAGCUGGGUAGAGCUUAAGGGUCAGGUGCAUCAGUUUUGCACAGGAGAUAAAUCUCAUCCAAGACAAGGAGAGAUCAAUGAGUACUUGGAAGAAAUGAUGGCCAAGAUCAGGCAAUGUGGAUAUGCACCAGACAUGAGCAUGGUGUUCCAUGAUAUGGAGGAUGAGGAGAAAGAGGUUAGUUUAACUCACCACAGCGAGAAAUUGGCGAUAGCAUUUGCAUUUCUGAGCUUACCUGAAGGAGUUCCUAUCCGAAUAAUGAAGAAUCUACGUGUGUGCGAUGACUGCCAUGUUGCUAUCAAGUUGAUGUCCCAGGUCACUGGUCGAGAGAUUGUGGUCAGAGAUGAUGGUCAUAAAGCUGGAUCAUGUGUUGCUGGAGCCCUGGAGGUUCUGGUCCUUCUGAGAGUAUGA